CCUACGGGUGGCUGCAGUGGGGAAUAUUGGACAAUGGGCGAAAGCCUGAUCCAGCCAUGCCGCGUGUGUGAAGAAGGCCUUCGGGUUGUAAAGCACUUUCAGUGGGGAAGAAAGCCUUGGGGCUAAUACCCUCGAGGAAGGACAUCACCCACAGAAGAAGCACCGGCUAACUCCGUGCCAGCAGCCGCGGUAAUACGGAGGGUGCGAGCGUUAAUCGGAAUUACUGGGCGUAAAGCGCGCGUAGGCGGUCUGAUAAGCCGGUUGUGAAAGCCCCGGGCUCAACCUGGGAACGGCAUCCGGAACUGUCAGGCUAGAGUGCAGGAGAGGAAGGUAGAAUUCCCGGUGUAGCGGUGAAACGCGUAGAGAUCGGGAGGAAUACCAGUGGCGAAGGCGGCCUUCUGGACUGACACUGACGCUGAGGUGCGAAAGCGUGGGUAGCAAACAGGAUUAGAUACCCCAGUAGUC
rnacentral:rRNA from 1 species